UUUUUCGGGUAUGAGGAAAGUCCGGGCUCCUCCAGAGAAAAUGCCGGGUAAUAACCGGGCAAAAAAUUGUAAUUGCAUAACUUAGUAGUUUUUGCAGCGAUGUAAAGACUGUUUAAUCUUGCAUAAUCUUUUUUUUGACAGAUAGUGCCACAGAAAAUAAACCGCAGCUGAUUUUUAUCAGAUGUAAGGGUGAAAAGGCGAGGUAAGAGCUCACCGUGUUUUUGGUAACAAAAGCAGCUGGUAAACCUCAUUUGGAGCAAAGUCAAAUAAGCGGCUGAUGAUAUUUCUGGGUUAUGGCCGCGGGUAGACUGCUGAAGGUAUGGAGCAAUUCAUAUUUUGGAUAGAUGAUUAUGUCAGCUGAUUUCAGUUGAUGACAGAACCCGGCUUAUUGUCCUUUCU
rnacentral:RNase_P_RNA from 1 species